rnacentral:lncRNA from 1 species
UGAAGCUGAAGCCCAAUCAACUUGAAACUUAGUAAACUUGUUGCUUAUGAUAUAAUCUUUUUUAAUUUUGAAACCAAAUUAGACUUUUGACCCCAAUUUCACGGUCCACUAAACAUAGAAAAUGAAAGUGGGAGUUUCAGGUUAAAGUUUUUGGUCAAUGUAGUUUUUGAUAAAAUUGAAGUCCAAUCAACUUGAAACUUAGUACAUAUGUUCCCUAUAGUAUGAUCUUUCUAAUGUUAAUACCAA